CUUUCAACAACGGAUCUCUUGGUUCUGGCAUCGAUGAAGAACGCAGCGAAAUGCGAUAAGUAAUGUGAAUUGCAGAAUUUAGUGAAUCAUCGAAUCUUUGAACGCACAUUGCGCCCUGUGGUAUUCCGCAGGGCAUGCCUGUUCGAGCGUCAUUA
rnacentral:rRNA from 1 species